ACUAAGCGUACACGGUGGAUGCCCUGGCAGUCAGAGGCGAUGAAGGACGUGCUAAUCUGCGAUAAGCGUCGGUAAGGUGAUAUGAACCGUUAUAACCGGCGAUUUCCGAAUGGGGAAACCCAGUGUGUUUCGACACACUAUCAUUAACUGAAUCCAUAGGUUAAUGAGGCGAACCGGGGGAACUGAAACAUCUAAGUACCCCGAGGAAAAGAAAUCAACCGAGAUUCCCCCAGUAGCGGCGAGCGAACGGGGAGCAGCCCAGAGCCUGAAUCAGUGUGUGUGUUAGUGGAAGCGUCUGGAAAGGCGCGCGAUACAGGGUGACAGCCCCGUACACAAAAAUGCACAUGCUGUGAGCUCGAUGAGUAGGGCGGGACACGUGGUAUCCUGUCUGAAUAUGGGGGGACCAUCCUCCAAGGCUAAAUACUCCUGACUGACCGAUAGUGAACCAGUACCGUGAGGGAAAGGCGAAAAGAACCCCGGCGAGGGGAGUGAAAAAGAACCUGAAACCGUGUACGUACAAGCAGUGGGAGCACGCUUAGGCGUGUGACUGCGUACCUUUUGUAUAAUGGGUCAGCGACUUAUAUUCUGUAGCAAGGUUAACCGAAUAGGGGAGCCGAAGGGAAACCGAGUCUUAACUGGGCGUUAAGUUGCAGGGUAUAGACCCGAAACCCGGUGAUCUAGCCAUGGGCAGGUUGAAGGUUGGGUAACACUAACUGGAGGACCGAACCGACUAAUGUUGAAAAAUUAGCGGAUGACUUGUGGCUGGGGGUGAAAGGCCAAUCAAACCGGGAGAUAGCUGGUUCUCCCCGAAAGCUAUUUAGGUAGCGCCUCGUGAAUUCAUCUCCGGGGGUAGAGCACUGUUUCGGCAAGGGGGUCAUCCCGACUUACCAACCCGAUGCAAACUGCGAAUACCGGAGAAUGUUAUCACGGGAGACACACGGCGGGUGCUAACGUCCGUCGUGAAGAGGGAAACAACCCAGACCGCCAGCUAAGGUCCCAAAGUCAUGGUUAAGUGGGAAACGAUGUGGGAAGGCCCAGACAGCCAGGAUGUUGGCUUAGAAGCAGCCAUCAUUUAAAGAAAGCGUAAUAGCUCACUGGUCGAGUCGGCCUGCGCGGAAGAUGUAACGGGGCUAAACCAUGCACCGAAGCUGCGGCAGCGACGCUUAUGCGUUGUUGGGUAGGGGAGCGUUCUGUAAGCCUGUGAAGGUGUGCUGUGAGGCAUGCUGGAGGUAUCAGAAGUGCGAAUGCUGACAUAAGUAACGAUAAAGCGGGUGAAAAGCCCGCUCGCCGGAAGACCAAGGGUUCCUGUCCAACGUUAAUCGGGGCAGGGUGAGUCGACCCCUAAGGCGAGGCCGAAAGGCGUAGUCGAUGGGAAACAGGUUAAUAUUCCUGUACUUGGUGUUACUGCGAAGGGGGGACGGAGAAGGCUAUGUUGGCCGGGCGACGGUUGUCCCGGUUUAAGCGUGUAGGCUGGUUUUCCAGGCAAAUCCGGAAAAUCAAGGCUGAGGCGUGAUGACGAGGCACUACGGUGCUGAAGCAACAAAUGCCCUGCUUCCAGGAAAAGCCUCUAAGCAUCAGGUAACAUCAAAUCGUACCCCAAACCGACACAGGUGGUCAGGUAGAGAAUACCAAGGCGCUUGAGAGAACUCGGGUGAAGGAACUAGGCAAAAUGGUGCCGUAACUUCGGGAGAAGGCACGCUGAUAUGUAGGUGAAGUCCCUCGCGGAUGGAGCUGAAAUCAGUCGAAGAUACCAGCUGGCUGCAACUGUUUAUUAAAAACACAGCACUGUGCAAACACGAAAGUGGACGUAUACGGUGUGACGCCUGCCCGGUGCCGGAAGGUUAAUUGAUGGGGUUAGCCGCAAGGCGAAGCUCUUGAUCGAAGCCCCGGUAAACGGCGGCCGUAACUAUAACGGUCCUAAGGUAGCGAAAUUCCUUGUCGGGUAAGUUCCGACCUGCACGAAUGGCGUAAUGAUGGCCAGGCUGUCUCCACCCGAGACUCAGUGAAAUUGAACUCGCUGUGAAGAUGCAGUGUACCCGCGGCAAGACGGAAAGACCCCGUGAACCUUUACUAUAGCUUGACACUGAACAUUGAGCCUUGAUGUGUAGGAUAGGUGGGAGGCUUAGAAGUGUGGACGCCAGUCUGCAUGGAGCCGACCUUGAAAUACCACCCUUUAAUGUUUGAUGUUCUAACGUUGACCCGUAAUCCGGGUUGCGGACAGUGUCUGGUGGGUAGUUUGACUGGGGCGGUCUCCUCCUAAAGAGUAACGGAGGAGCACGAAGGUUGGCUAAUCCUGGUCGGACAUCAGGAGGUUAGUGCAAUGGCAUAAGCCAGCUUGACUGCGAGCGUGACGGCGCGAGCAGGUGCGAAAGCAGGUCAUAGUGAUCCGGUGGUUCUGAAUGGAAGGGCCAUCGCUCAACGGAUAAAAGGUACUCCGGGGAUAACAGGCUGAUACCGCCCAAGAGUUCAUAUCGACGGCGGUGUUUGGCACCUCGAUGUCGGCUCAUCACAUCCUGGGGCUGAAGUAGGUCCCAAGGGUAUGGCUGUUCGCCAUUUAAAGUGGUACGCGAGCUGGGUUUAGAACGUCGUGAGACAGUUCGGUCCCUAUCUGCCGUGGGCGCUGGAGAACUGAGGGGGGCUGCUCCUAGUACGAGAGGACCGGAGUGGACGCAUCACUGGUGUUCGGGUUGUCAUGCCAAUGGCACUGCCCGGUAGCUAAAUGCGGAAGAGAUAAGUGCUGAAAGCAUCUAAGCACGAAACUUGCCCCGAGAUGAGUUCUCCCUGACUCCUUGAGAGUCCUGAAGGAACGUUGAAGACGACGACGUUGAUAGGCCGGGUGUGUAAGCGCAGCGAUGCGUUGAGCUAACCGGUACUAAUGAACCGUGAGGCUUAACC
rnacentral:rRNA from 1 species